rnacentral:lncRNA from 1 species
CAGAAUUUGUGUGAAGCCCCUUCCAUUGUCAAGAAAUGGGAAGCCUUGGGUUGUCUCAGUGAAUGAGGUUUCAGUAAAGAUCCCAGCCCCUGCAGACCUGGAAAGGUAUUUCCUCUGUCAGAGGUGACAACAGCUUGAGUUCCAACGUCUUCUCCAGAGAGACCCACUAGGGACUGCCCUGGAGCACCCCGCGCGAACCUCUGCGUGGUCCACGCUGCCUCUCUCACUAAAUGCAUCUUCUGCCGCCUCUGCCUUCAGCUGCAUCCUUGCUACUUCGUUUCCCCACCACGGCUUCUGCUUCCUUCCUUCUCUCUCUGUGCUUCUUUGCUCCUGUAUUAUAUGCCGCCUUUUUCUGUGCAUCUCACUCAAACUCCCCAAGGAAGAACGUGUGUGGUCGUCACCCUCAGAUGGCAGGCAGAGCAUCCCCAAGGAGCAGCAGGCUUCUGAGGUUGCUGCCCAGACUUUCCAGAAGUGGCUGCCUCCAUCAGUUUGCCUUCUUCUAGCCUCCUAGGUGCUUCUCUGCCCAAGAAACACCUCAGGAAUGGCUGUAGAUCCGUCAGGUGCUGCAAAGACUUCUUCCAUAGCAUAUCCAGGACACAACUGAUCUGUUUUGUGAGUCAUCAAGUGCCAGGGGACUUAGCACGUUAAGAAGAUGCUACAUCGCUCGUGUUACUGUCAGUCCGAAUGAUGGGAGGAGCUUCUGAAAUCGUAGGAGGAGCGAAGUGUGUCAUGGUUUGAGAAAAUGUUGGGAAAAUGUCAGGAAUUACAGUUGGCGUGGUCACCUAAAUCUUCAAAAUAGAUGCACGACAAGAUCUGGGCCUGUGUUUAUUUAAAGUCAUUACAUAAAACACAUCCCGGGUUAUAUAAGGCUACGCCAGAGAAUAUAGAUUCAUUCCUGAAAAGAACUGGUGGGUUUUCAUAAUUUGAUCUGUUUAAAGUUUACAUGUUUUCUUAGGGAAGCGUUCUAUACCUUGACACGGCUGGUGGUUACAAGGGUUUAGGUGAAUGGGAAAGUCAUUGACUGCUGGCCUACACCACAGCCACAGCAAUGCAGGAUCCUUAACCCACUGAGCAAGACCAGGGAUUGAACCCGCAUCCUCAUGAGUGCUAGUCCCGUUUGUUUUGGCUGAGCCACCAUGGGAACUCCAUGGCAUCUGUAGGAUUCUUACUUCUCUCAUUCCCUGCUGACGUACCAAUGAUAAUAGCCCAACAUUACAGAGUGGGCCAAACAGACCCUUGCUAUGGUUUCACAUGUUUGAAAUCACAUGCCUUAGGUCUCAAUACAGCUACUGAGAAGAUUACAGAAAUUUCCGUUGCACUCCAGUGCCAUAUAAUUGGAGUUUCAUCCAGUGCGAAGCUAAAAGCAAUUUUUCUUCAGCACCUGGCAGUCAUCAGAGAAGAAGGCCUCUUCAAGGCCUGUUUAAACUCUUGGAAAGUGGGUUGGGGGCUUGAGGGCGGUGCUUUGAAUAUGCAUAUGAUCAUUCUCAAGGCAGCAACAGCAGAGGCGGAUUUUAAUAAUUCAUUCGUUAGGCCAAUUUAUUUCUCUAAUUGGUGGUGAAGCUUUGUCAGUGAGGAGAUAGUAAAAACAAUUGGACAUGUUUAAAACAUGUAAAACUCGGUGGAGUUUGGGUGUGACUAGUGCACAGAGAGAUGGAAACAGAGAGGAGGGCCCUGGUCGUUUCUUAAAUAACUGGUUGAAUAUUUAUACAUUGCACUGCAACGAGACUUGUUUUUAUUUUUGUAGAUGUUGCUGUCUGUAUUUAUUUUGGAAUAUGGGUUACAGACACAAGUUGUGGAGUUCCAGUCUUAGCACAGCAGAAACAAAUCCGACUAGGAACCAAGAGGUUGCAGGUUCAAUCCCUGGUCUCCAUCAGUGGGUUAAGGAUCUGGCAUUGCCAUGAGCUGUGGUGUAGGUCGCAGAUGCAGCCCAGAUUCUGCAUGGCUGGGGCUGGCACCUGUAGCUUCUUGGGGCUGGGGCUGGCACCUGUAGCUCCAAUUCGACCCCUAGCCUGGGAACCUCCAUAGGCCAUGGGUGCAGCUCUAAAAAGCAAAAAGGAAAGAAAAGGAAAAAACCCACAAACAAAACACAAGUUCUGAGAGUUGACAGGCAACAUUCUUAACCUCUUAACCUUGUGAGAGUGAACCAGCUUCAAGGGGAUCUAUUAAAACCUUGAAAUUAUCUGGAAAACGUGUGUGCAGUUUUCUGGGAGGCGUAUGCGGCGCUUUUGUCAUAGUUUCACAGUUUAGGAACCACCGUGUCACAACUUUCUGCCUCUCUGAGGCAUCAGCCGACAGUCGUCUAACAGUCCGUGGACUCUAACUGCCCUGCAAGAGCUCUAGCCUUGGAACGGUCACUCUCCACCCGACCCUUUCUUACUAGUAAACCAAAUCAUACAGCCAGUUCCGAGACUGCAGCAGCGCUGGGAGCAGCUUCAUGUAAGUCAACACGAGAAGCAAGUCAGCUGCUGGAGGUAGGUGCCCGGAGGUGCCGAAAAGAAUGAUCAGAACCUGGCAAACUCGAAGUGUGGUCAGCAGACCAGCAGCCUUCGCCUCCCUUGGGAUGUGGGAGAAACGUCGAAUCUCAGACCCAGAAUCUGCAUUUUUGCAGGAUGCUCAGGGCAUUCCCAAACACAGCAGAGUUUGAGACACCCCAGUUCAGCAGCUGCUUGGUUCUGGAUGCCGCCCUCCGUUCCCAGUGCAGUUGCUUCCCUUCCAUCGCCCCUACCAAGCCACACCCUCCUCCAUCUCCACGCCCCCUGUGUCCUAGCUCCCCUGUGUCACGUGGAAUUCCUGUUGCUUUCUCAUAUCGCCUAAGGAAGCAGCAUUUUCUCAUGCAUGUGAUGUGAGCUCCCUCUGCUUGGGGUGCACAGACUCUUGGGACCGCCCUCUCUUGAUGGCGCUGUGAGAAGACGAGAGAAAGGAAUGGAAAAUUCAGUUCUCCAGUCACUUUCUCCGUGCGUGAUGCAGUUGUGAGCACGUCAUGAUCUCCGGGGCCACAUUGUCAUAGGCUUGUGAUAGGGAUCAGAGAUCCUUUUCUUGGACUGGGUUUUAAGUAGGUUUGCGUGAACCCGGCUUGCUCCCUCCCCCCAAUCCCAACCUAUACAAUGAGGCUUUGACCAGGGUUCUCUCUCUAACAUCCUCUCUGUCCUUUUAUGGAUGGCCUCCCAGAGGAAGCCAUGCCCCUCCAGAUCGUCUCCAAAUGGUGAAAAAAAGCUCUAUUUUUCAUCCUGUGCAGGAUUAGUCGCACUCUUGAAGGGUCACCCUUGCGACAGAUCGGCUUGUGUUGUUCCAGUUCCACAGAUAUUGAUUCUCCCUCCGUUAGCGAUGCCGAGUGGCUGGGACCGCUUUAUGUAACCUGGAGCCCAAAUCCCUGGUCCUUUGUGAGAUAUCCGCCAUUAAGUUUGUCUCAAAACACGACACACUUCAUGUGCCUCGAGCACAGUUGCAAAUUCCUCUGUGACAAAAUGAAGAUUAAUUUUGAGCUUCAGUGCUUUGUGUUUAUGCAUCAUGGUAUCAACUGUCAUUGUAAUGACACAGUCUCCUGUGCAGACAAUUAGAAACCGUGCUCAAGGAAUCCUUUCUAAUUGUGUUGGGUUAUAAUUCACCCUUGACACGUGGCCCGUGCCGUAGGAGGGCCACCAUGCUUUGUGUGUGGUUUCAGAAAAAGAAUCACAACCUGUAAAUACCGCUUUUUCUCUCCAAAGCAGCUCAAGGAGUCCAAAACCAGGGAGCUUUGAAGAUUGGCUUUGACGAGUAACUAGAAUUCCUGGAGUUCCCAUCGUGGCUCAGUGGAAAAGAAUCUGACUAGCAUCCAUGAGGGUGCAGGUUCGAUCCCUGGCUUGGCUCAGUGGGUUAAGGAUCCGGUGUUGCCAUGCGCUGUGGUCGUGAGCUGUGGUGCAGGUCACAGAGGCAGCUCAGAUCCCGCAUUGUUGUGGCUAUGGUGCAGGCCAGCAGCUAUAGCUCUGAUUCGACCUCUAGCUUGGGAACCUCCUUAUGCUGCAGGUGCAGCCCUAAAAAG